rnacentral:lncRNA from 1 species
GCUCAAAUUAAGAGGCUUGGUUCUUGAUUUAAGUUUAAAUCUGAUUGAAUCAAGAGUCCAUUUUCUUGUCAAUGUUUUCAAGAGUCUGGACUCUAGAUCCAAUGUGUUUUUUUCCAGUGAAUAUUAAUAACUCCCUUCAAAAAUAAACGUUUUAUUAGAGGAAAUUUGGCAACUCUCGAUGUUCAUAAGACGUUUUUCCUUAGCAUAGCAGACUAGCUUCCUAUUCAGGAAAUUGCGUUAUAAUGUUAUAUCAUUUUUUUGUUGUUCCCUAUCUCUUAUAAACCAUUGACAACUCGACCGAGAACGCUUCUCGCGAAUUGCAUGACAUGUCUUAACACAUUUUCUUGUUAUCAACGUCUAAAAGCUUCUUAAUGCCAAUAUGGAUGUUCGACUAGGAGAAUAUUCGAUACCAUCGGGACGAAUGUUGGUAUCGACAUCUAUCAUUUGCACCGCGACGGGGAGCAAUUUCCGAAUCCGGAUGAGUUCAAUCCGGAUCAUUUUUCCGCUGAAAAUAUCCGCACCCGACAUCCGUAUGCAUUCAUUCCUUUCAGCGCCGGGCCCGCAACUGCAUAGGUCAGAAGUUCGCCUACCUCCAAAUGAAAGUGACUCUCUCGACCAUACUGAGGAACUUUAUCAUCGAGACAACGAUGAAACCAGAGGACAUCCGAAUUACUUUCGAGUUAAUUUUGAGAUUGAGCCAGAUAUCAAAAUCAAAAUCAGAAAAAGGGAUGCGUCUUUGUAAAUAAUAUUCCGUUCGGCGUGCAAACGCGAGUACUGACGUCUUCCCCUAUCAUGCUACGUAAAAAUGGACGUAUUUCUAUCAACGGAACCAUGUGGAUUAAGGCAUGAGCCUUGAUACCCAUAAGAAUACAUGCAUAACAGGGCUCACGUCAUAUGCACAUAGUUCUGUUUGACAGAAACAUGUACAAAAAGCAUUCGAAUGUUGCCAAAUUUCCUCUAGAAACUAUAUAUUUUGAGGAACGUUAUGAUAUAUUUCCUUGAGGAUCUCAGUCUGCUCGCAUCAAAUUACGAAUGAAAUCCUUUGAAAAAAUCGAAGGAAAAAUAUUCACAUAAUUUCCCAAAAAUUCGUGAUUUGUCGGAGGAGAUUUGGCAACACUUGGUGGCUUAUACGGCGCGGUCUUACUAGUUACUUAGCGAGGCAGCAUUACCUUGAUGUAGUGAAGCAGUGAAGCCCACUCUCGUGUACGGUAACUUACUCAUUCUCUUUUUUCAUACAAAAAAAUUAGGAGCUAAAGGAAUGGAAGUUUAUUAAAGAUUGUCUGUAUGAUUUGAAUUGCAUUUUGCAAAAAGGAACCACUAGCAUUGCAAUGAUGCUAAGAUUGUGCAACUUAUCCUUUGCAAUAAAAUUGCGGAAAUCGUGAAAAACUAUGAAAUUUAGAUGGUAAUUUUGUCUUAAAUUUACAGUUUUUAGCGAGUAAAAUAGAAACUUUUAAUGGAUUAUCGGGUUUUCCUCCAAGACAAAAGAAGUUGCACAAUCUUAGCAACAUUGCAAUGCUAGUAGUUCCUUUUGCAAAAUGCAAUCCAUUGUUCCUCUAGAUUGAUUCUGAAUCAUUUAACUUGCUUCCGACAUUCGUUUAAUGAUCUUUCCGAGGAGAAACUAAAGUAAAUCAAUCCAAAGUCACUUUUCUUCUUGUGUAUAAAACAUUAGCGAAUGGUUCCAUAUUUUUAGUGGUAUACGAAAACUACCUUUCUGACUGGGAGCUCAGUAGUUCAUAGUGCAUUGUAGUAUUUUAUUGUAGUGCAGCAGGACCGUAUAUUUUACCGUUAAUAAGAAUAAAAAAUAAAAAUUUGUAAUACUCUUUUCCCCCUAACCAUCCUCACUGAUCUUACUUAUUUUUCCGUUAGGAAAUUGUAAGGCUUUUGUCAACUUUCUCAGUAUCAAAAUUUCAUUACGAAUUGAGCUUUAAGUUAUGACUGAUAAAGCAUUUUCCACUUCAUUUUAACCUGUUACCUAAUUAAGGGGCUUGGAGGACAAUACGCAUCAGUGCAAUUUUUUCUAUUUCGAGAAAUACGUGUUUGAAGUUUUGAUAUUACAUGGAUCCUUGUAACGAAAAGAAAUUUCAAACUGACAUUUUGAUGCUUAAAAAUUGGAAUUUAGGAGCGAAUUUUUCACAGAAUAUGCAUUAAGACCACUUUUACUUGAAAUCAUUAAAUCUCAAUUUUUUUAAAAAAAACUGCACUGCGCCUUGUCCUCCAAGCCUCACAUCGAAAGUUAAUCUUGCCGUGCUUAUGCAACAGAAUGAUACAAUUUACAAGAUUUGUUCCAGGCAUUCAAUUAUUUUCUCAUUUUAAAAAAACAAUGGAAUAUGUUUUGUUUGUAGGUUUUUCAAUUUUGUUCCUACUCUCCCCCUUUUUUGAGUGUAAUUUCAGUCUCGGUGAAAAAUUUCAUAAACAAGUUUUACUUUAAGGGAGGGAGGUUUAAGGAAGCAUAACCUGAUUUCAGAGGGU